rnacentral:rRNA from 1 species
GACGAACGCUGACGGCGUGCUUAACACAUGCAAGUCGAACGGAAAGGCCCUGCUUUUGUGGGGUGCUCGAGUGGCGAACGGGUGAGUAACACGUGAGUAACCUGCCCUUGACUUUGGGAUAACUUCAGGAAACUGGGGCUAAUACCGGAUAGGAGCUCCUGCUGCAUGGUGGGGGUUGGAAAGUUUCGGCGGCUGGGGAUGGACUCGCGGCUUAUCAGCUUGUUGGUGGGGUAGUGGCUUACCAAGGCUUUGACGGGUAGCCGGCCUGAGAGGGUGACCGGCCACAUUGGGACUGAGAUACGGCCCAGACUCCUACGGGAGGCAGCAGUGGGGAAUAUUGCACAAUGGGCGGAAGCCUGAUGCAGCAACGCCGCGUGCGGGAUGACGGCCUUCGGGUUGUAAACCGCUUUCGCCUGUGACGAAGCGUGAGUGACGGUAAUGGGUAAAGAAGCACCGGCUAACUACGUG